GAGCACCUAGAUCCAAACAAUAAUGGAAAAUUGGAGAAAAAAUGGGGAAAUUAAAAUUAGGGUUUGGAAAUGAAUAAUAAAAAAAAUUAAGAAAAAAAUAAAGGAAGAAAGAUGAAUUUUGUUUUGUGUGUUGUGUUAGUGUAUAAUUAACGAAUGAAUGUGAUAUGUAUCCUUAAAUGAAAAAAUUACCCUUUAACUUCCUUUAACUUCCUCUUUGGAUUUAUAAAUUUAUCAUU
rnacentral:lncRNA from 1 species